rnacentral:rRNA from 1 species
CCCUUAGAUGUUCUGGGCCGCACGCGCGCUACACUGAUGCAUUCAACGAGUUUCUUCCUGGUCCGAGAGGAAUGGGUAACCUUUUGAAAGUGCAUCGUGAUAGGGAUAGACUAUUGCAAUUAUUGGUCUUCAACGAGGAAUUCCUAGUAGACGUAGUUCAUCAGACUGCAUCGAUUACGUCCCUGCCCUUUGUACACACCGCCCGUCUCUCCUACCGAUUGAAUGCUCAGGUGAGCCAUUCGGACUUUCAUCAUGCUGGUUUCCAGUUUUGAUGAAGGAAAGUCUUGCGAACCUUAUCAUUUAGAGGAAGGAGAAGUCGUAACA